rnacentral:rRNA from 1 species
AGUGAACGCUGGCGGUAGGCCUAACACAUGCAAGUCGAACGGCAGCACAGUAAGAGCUUGCUCUUACGGGUGGCGAGUGGCGGACGGGUGAGGAAUACAUCGGAAUCUACUUUUUCGUGGGGGAUAACGUAGGGAAACUUACGCUAAUACCGCAUACGACCUACGGGUGAAAGCAGGGGAUCUUCGGACCUUGCGCGAUUGAAUGAGCCGAUGUCGGAUUAGCUAGUUGGCGGGGUAAAGGCCCACCAAGGCGACGAUCCGUAGCUGGUCUGAGAGGAUGAUCGGCCAAACUGGAACUGAGAAACGGUCCAGACUCCUACGGGAGGCAGCAGUGGGGAUAAUUGGACAAUGGGCGCAAGCCUGACCCAGCCAUACCGCGUGGGUGAGGAGGGCCUUCGGGUUGUAAAGCCCUUUGUUGGGAAAGAAAAGCAGCAGGUUAAUACCCCGCUGUUCUGACGGUACCCAAAGAAUAAGCAUCGGCUAACUUCGUG